GACGAACGCUGGCGGCGUGCUUAACACAUGCAAGUCGAACGGAAAGGCCCUGCUUUUGUGGGGUGCUCGAGUGGCGAACGGGUGAGUAACACGUGAGUAACCUGCCCUUGACUUUGGGAUAACUUCAGGAAACUGGGGCUAAUACCGGAUAGGAGCUCCUGCUGCAUGGUGGGGGUUGGAAAGUUUCGGCGGUUGGGGAUGGACGCGCGGCUUAUCAGCUUGUUGGUGGGGUAGUGGCUUACCAAGGCUUUGACGGGUAGCCGGCCUGAGAGGGUGAACGGCGACAUUGGGACUGAGAGACGGACCAGAGUCCUACGGGAGGCAGCAGUGGGGAAUAUGGCACAAUGGGCGGAAGCCUGAUGAAGAAACGCCGCGUGCGGGAUGACGGCCAUCGGGUUGGAAACCGCUUUCGCCUGUGACGAAGCGUGAGUGACGGUAAUGGGUAAAGAAGCACCGGCUAACUACGUG
rnacentral:rRNA from 1 species